rnacentral:rRNA from 1 species
CCCGCACAAGCAGCGGAGCGUGUGGUUUAAUUCGAUGCAACACGAAGAACCUUACCAGGGCUUGACAUGUUAGAAGUAGGAACCCGAAAGGGGACGACCAGUAUCCAAUCUGGAGCUAACACAGGUGCUGCAUGGCUGUCGUCAGCUCGUGCCGUGAGGUGUAUGGUUAAGUCCCACAACGAGCGCAACCCUCGUCGCUAGUUAAUUUCCCUAGCGAGACCGCCUCGCAAAACGAGGAGGAAGGCGGGGAUGGCGUCAAGUCAGCAUGGCCUUUAUACCCUGGGCGACACACACGCUACAAUGGGUGGUACAGUAGGUAGCGAAGGAGCGAUCCGGAGCAAAUCCUUAAAACCAUCCUCAGUACGGAUUGCAGGCUGAAACCCGCCUGCAUGAAGCCGGAGUUGCUAGUAACCGCAUAUCAGCAUGGUGCGGUGAAUACGUUCUCGGGCCUU